rnacentral:tRNA from 1 species
AGGCCCGUAGCUCAACCGGCAGAGCAGCGGUCUCCAAAGCCGCCGGUCCAGGUUCGACCCCUGGCGGGCUUG